CGUUGCCGCCAGGUUUCCUCCUCGAGUGCGCCAGGAGGCGCUCGGUGAGUGGGGGGGUACUGUCAUGUACUGUCAUGUUGUGUCUUUUUCUGUCCUUUCUCUUCACCCUGUCUCCCUCUGCUGGUCGUGUUAGGUUACCUUUUCUCCCCCUCUUUCCCCCAGCUGUGCCUUGUCUCCUCCUAACUACCUCGUCACCCCUUUUCCCACCUGUUCCCUUUUUCCCUCUGAUUAGUCCUCUAUAUCUCUCUCUGUUUCUGCUCCUGUCUUUGUCGGAUUCUUGUUUGUGUUAUUCAUGCCUGAACCAGACUAUCGUCAUGUUUGCUGCAACCUUGUCCUGUCCUGUCGGAAUCUGCCGGUCCAUCUGAGCCUACGUAUGUUUUGCUAUUAAAGAAGCCCUGUUUACGUUAGUUCGCUUUUGGGUCCUCAUUCACGCACCUGACAGUUAAACCUUCUUCACCACGCUGUCUGUGUGGGUGGACCAUUUCAGUUUGUCUGUAUGCCGAGGGACUUAAAACUUUCCACCUUCUCCACUACUGUCCCGGCGAUGCGAAUAGGAGGGUGCUCCCUCUGCUGUUUCCUGAAGUCCACGAUCAUCUCCUUUGUUUUGUUGACGUUGAGUGAGCGGUUGUUUUCCUGUUACCAUACUCCAAGUGCCCUCACUUCUUCCCUGUAAGCUGUCUCGUCAUUGUUGGUAAUCAAGCCCACUACUGCUGUCUCGUCUGCAAACUUGAUGAUUGAGUUGGAGGCGUGCAUGGCCACGCAGUCAUGGGUGAACAGAGAGUACAGGAGGGGGCUGAGCACUCUCCCUUGUUGGGCCCCAGUUUUGAGGGUCAGCGAAGCGGAGAUGUUGUUUCCUGCCUUCACCACCUGGGGUGCGGACCGUCAGAAAGUCCAGGACCCAAUUGCACAGGGCAGGCUUAAGACCCAGGGCCUCCAGCUUAAUGAUGAGCUUGGAGGGUACUAUGGUGUUAAAUGCUGAUGUCAACAGCAUUCUUACAUAGGUAUUCUUCUUGUCCAGAUGGGAUAGGGCAGUGUGCCGUGUGACUCACCAGAAGUGAGUGCUAUGGGGUGGUAGUCAUUUAGUUCAGUUAUCUUUGCCUUCUUGGGUACAGGAACAAUGAUGGCCAUCUUGAAGCAUGUGGGGACAGCAGACUGGGAUAGGGAGCAAUUGAUUAUGUCUGUAAACACACCAGCCAGCUGGUCUGCGCAUGCUCUGAGGACGCGGCUAGGGAUGCUGUCUGGGCCAGCAGCAUUGCGAAGGUUAACACGUAUAAAUGUC
rnacentral:lncRNA from 13 species